CGUAGGGUGCGAGCGUUAAUCGGAAUUACUGGGCGUAAAGCGUGCGCAGGCGGUGAUGUAAGACAGGUGUGAAAUCCCAGGGCUUAACCUUGGAACUGCAUUUGUGACUGCAUCGCUGGAGUGCGGCAGAGGGGGAUGGAAUUCCGCGUGUAGCAGUGAAAUGCGUAGAUAUGCGGAGGAACACCGAUGGCGAAGGCAAUCCCCUGGGCCUGCACUGACGCUCAUGCACGAAAGCGUGGGGAGCAAACAGGAUUAGAUACCCUGGUAGUCCACGCCCUAAACGAUGUCAACUGGUUGUUGGGUCUUCACUGACUCAGUAACGAAGCUAACGCGUGAAGUUGACCGCCUGGGGAGUACGGCCGCAAGGUUG
rnacentral:rRNA from 1 species